GACAGAGGAUGCAAGCGUUAUCCGGAAUGAUUGGGCGUAAAGCGUCUGUAGGUGGCUUUUAAGUCCGCCGUCAAAUCCCAGGGCUCAACCCUGGACAGGCGGUGGAAACUACCAAGCUGGAGUACGGUAGGGGCAGAGGGAAUUUCCGGGUGGAGCGGUGAAAUGCGUAGAAAUCGGAAAGAACACCAACGGCGAAAGCACCCUGCUGGGCCGACACUGACACUGAGAGACGAAAGCUAGGGGAGCGAAUGGG
rnacentral:rRNA from 1 species